rnacentral:lncRNA from 1 species
UUUAUCCCAUGGCAUGCUGGAUGAAAUGAAGCAUCCACUUAUUUGUGAGGCCGUAAUUAAUUUCGGACUUGAUAAUCAAAAUGGAUUAAGGAAGGGGAUAAAAAUAUCAAGUAUUUCCAUACUAAUUUCAGGAGUUGGCAAUAUCUCCGACCCCCGGUGUGGAGGAAGACGAUUGGAAGGAGAAGGAGGAGGCGGCUUUGUGGAACUAUGACUCCCUUUGUCAAUGGAAAAUGUACCCUUUAAAAGUCUGGGUGAUAGCAGUGCCACCGUCUUAGAACAAGAAUUUUCAAUUUUCAGUGGAAGAAGUCAAAGAGGCUGUUUUCGAACUACCAGGAGAUAAAGCACCAGGGCUAGAUGGGUUUCAGAUAGGUGCCGGAUCUGGACCCAAAAAUAUUACGGAAUCCACACCCAGACCUAGACCACUUUGAUUAAGGCCACACUGACCAUUAUACCUGUAUACUAAAUCUCAUUGUAGAGAGCUUCUAUACAUCUGAUCAAAUGUUUAGAAAAGUUGAUGUAUAAUUUUUUGUGGAGUGGAUCUAUAGAAGGGAGAAAAUUCUGCUUGGUAAAAUGAGAAAGUGAGGGAGGUUUGGGUAUAAAAAAGCUCAAAGCUAUGAAUGAGUCACUUUUAAAUAAUUGAUGGUGGAGAUUUGGCUAUGAUACCU